rnacentral:rRNA from 1 species
UACGGGGGGGGCAAGCGUUGUUCGGAAUUACUGGGCGUAAAGGGCUCGUAGGCGGCCAACUAAGUCAGACGUGAAAUCCCUCGGCUUAACCGGGGAACUGCGUCUGAUACUGGAUGGCUUGAAUCCGGGAGAGGGAUGCAGAAUUCCAGGUGUAGCGGUGAAAUGCGUAGAUAUCUGGAGGAAUACCGGUGGCGAAGGCGGCAUCCUGGACCGGCAUUGACGCUGAUGAGCGAAAGCUAAGGGGAGCAAACGGGG